GAUGAACGCUAGCGGGAGGCCUAACACAUGCAAGCCGAGCGGUAGAGUUUCUUCGGAAACUUGAGAGCGGCGCACGGGUGCGUAACACGUGUGCAACCUACCUUUAUCUGGGGGAUAGCCUUUCGAAAGGAAGAUUAAUACCCCAUAAUAUAAUGAUUGGCAUCAACUAUUAUUGAAAACUCCGGUGGAUAGAGAUGGGCACGCGCAAGAUUAGAUAGUUGGUGAGGUAACGGCUCACCAAGUCAAUGAUCUUUAGGGGUCCUGAGAGGGAGAUCCCCCACACUGGUACUGAGACACGGACCAGACUCCUACGGGAGGCAGCAGUGAGGAAUAUUGGACAAUGGGUGAGAGCCUGAUCCAGCCAUCCCGCGUGAAGGAUGACGGUCCUAUGGAUUGUAAACUUCUUUUGUACAGGGAUAAACCUACCCUCGUGAGGGUAGCUGAAGGUACUGUACGAAUAAGCACCGGCUAACUCCGUG
rnacentral:rRNA from 1 species